GAGGAAGGGAAGGGAAGGGAAGGGAAGGGAAGGGAAGGGAAAUCUUAGACUAAAGGAUAGAUCACAUUUCAAAACAUCUAAAAAUAACAAUUCUGAUUUCCCCUUCCCUCUCUCUCUCCCCCACUCCUCUUCUUACCAAUGUAAUUCAUUUUCUCUAAAGAAAAUAUUAAUCCUGGGAAUAUAUGAAUUAUGUAAUACUUCAAUGAGAUUAAUUUUAUUUACAAGACAUAGUUAUGAUUUAGAAAAGUGGCAGCAGGGAUAAGAGCAAGCCUGAGAGUCUUGUGACUUGUGCAACAUAAUGUAAUACUGUACAAACACACACACGUGUGUGGUAACAGGAGUAAUAAGGCUAAACCUCAUGUCCAUUUCAGUGUGUGUCAGGACUCAGAUAUUUUUAAGGAUUGUCACAUUAAUUAUUAAAUAAUUUGGCUUUGCGGACUUAAUUUAUCUCUAAAAGGACAGAAGGACAGUUCCCACUGAAUUUUAUGUAUCUACUCUUCUUGUAUGUAGAUCAGAGGUUUUCAGUUGUGUGAUUUUUUUUUUUUAAUUUAUUUUUUAACUUUCAUUGGUGUUUUCAAAAGCAAAAAAGAAUUUUGCACCUUUUUGAGUACCACUCUCCUGCAGGUAAAGAAUGUAACAGCUUGUGAGAGGCUAGAGCCAAUAAUAAUUUGACUGACAUGUCUUGGCACUGAAAUGCCUAUUAAAACUCAGGCUGUCCUUUCAAGAUGGAGAUUUUAAUGCUGGGCAUUUGUUUGAGCAGAAAAUUCACUCUCCUUAUAAAUCCAAACGGCCUACAUCAAUGCUUGGGUUUAGGUUGAAGAUAGAUUCUUAGAAGGAUGUAAUAUGUCUAUUGAUUAUAGAAUAAAUCCUUCACUGUCAUGAAGUUUCCAAGCCAUGGAAGUUUCCAAGACCAGUAUAUGCUGCAAACAUGUUUCUGUAUGUAACACACUGUACUUUUCCAUACAAGAUCCCAAAGAUGCCUUGAAAAAACACAGAGGCCAGUAAACUAUGAUUACUUGUUAACAGUUUUAGGAAAAAAAAUAUGUUUACUCCUGAGAAUUUAUAGGCAUAUAGCAGUACUCCUGAGAAUUUAUAGGCAUAUAGCAGUUCUUAAUAGGGGUUAACUAUGGAUUCUAGGAAUAACAUAGUUCAGCACAGGAACAAAUGUCUUCAGAUAUUUGAUGGGCAUGAUUUCAAUGAAAAAAUAAGCCAGGUCUAUUUAGAAUAGUUUGACAAAUUUCUAAUCUUAUUUCACAGAAAGGCAACUUCGCUGAUUUUGUGUAAGAUAUGCGCACUUUUAAAGCCAGUUCCAGAGUAAAAUCAGUGAUAUUCUUUCCAUGGACUUGAGAGAGUUCCAGUAGGUGGGAGGUUAGCUCUCCCUACCUACACUGCCAGUAACCAGAAGAGGUUUUUUAAAGAGCUGUUUAUUACAUGGUAUGGUAGAACAAAAUUUUUCAAUACAACCCCCUGUCUCCUGUAGCUUGUAUUGCUAACACAGGUUUGUGGUGUCUGCUGGAAUCUGCCUGGAUUUUAAGGAAGAAUUUUAGAUACACUGUAUAUUUUUGUUUGUUUGUUUCUCUCUUUACACACAAUGCAAUAAAAGCCUAUGUUAGCAUUUAGAAAAGUCUGCAUGUGUGAUGUUUGUUUGACGUUUGUUUGAUUUUCCAGAGAAUUAAAGACACUUUGUCACAGAAGAUGCUGCACAUGUGUGUAGGUGGCUGUAUGUAUUGUUCUGCUAUUCCACAGAUGUGUUGGAAACCAUCUCUGAGGUUUCAUCAGUGUGAAUGAGGACAAAACUUGGACUUCAUCAUCCUUGAAACUCUAGGUACCUCUGAUUUAACUUUACAACAGAGUAGAAGUUGUGUGAUUCUGCAGCCAGCAGUGCUGUGAGAACUAUAACUCUUUUGCUCCAGGUACGAAAGGGUAAGGACAUCCAGAUGUGGCUGGCUGCAGUAUCAAAGACCAUAACUGCAUGGGUCAGACUGGGCUGCGUUCACAUUCAGGUCAAGUCAGUAUGGUUUGUGGUGCCUAGGGCAUCAUCUACCCUAUCUGAAGAUAGACAACUAAAAUGUGUCUCUAAACUUCCCACUUUCGAACUUUCAAGGGAACACAAAGUAACUCUUUUGGCUAUGGAAAGAAAUCCACUGUGCAAAGAUUGAAAGAGAGGGUGGAUAAGCCCCACCUAAACUCUGCUGCUUUAGUAAGCACAGUGAAUGUGAAUUGCAAAAUUCAACUUCUAUGUCUGUCCCUAAUAUAGAAAAUAUACUGGCAAAAAUAGAGUUGAUAGCAUUUAUUGUGACAGCUGAUGCUGAUGAUUUGACUUCUUCUAUUAAAUAGAUGACUCAUGUACAAUUUGUUUUUAGAUUGUCUAGAUUAUGUGUAUUUAAAGUACUCUGGGGAUUUUAAUUUUGCAUUCCAUCUGUGACAGCAAAAAUGAUAGGCAUGUUGAGCAUAUGAAGAAGAAAAAAGGAAAACAGAAGGUUGCCCAGAUUCUGUGAAACAGAGCCACAUGCCCUAAGAAGCCUGGCAACACAGACAUAUAAACUCUUCAGCUUCUUUUCUAAAGUAACAGUAGGAACCUGCACGUGGCUUUUCAGGUACUGCUACUGAGACAGAAGCAGCUAAACAGUGAGAAUGUUGGGGUUAUUCUAACUUUCUGAAAAAAAAAAAACAAACAAAAAACAAAAAACAAAACAAACAAACAAAAAAAAAAACGAGGAAAAAGACUAUGGUUUCUAUUAGGACUGGGUGGUGGAGGAAGAUUUCCUCAAAGCACCCUAAUUUUAGGAUUAGAAAACCAUAGUGAAACUCACCAAAUUACAGCCAGCAUUCAAACCUUUAUUUUUGCUUAAACACUUGUUGGUUAUUCAGGCACGAACUAUAUCCUGGGUGCAGAGUUCUCCUCUGCAUUAUUUCUGUGGUUUCAAACAUUUCACCUUUCCCACAGCAGUGUAUGUUAAUGACUAGAGCACAUCUCUGCACUGUCUCUUCAGAGAUGUAACUCUCUUUAGGAAAGAAGAAAAAAAGAAAAAAAAAAAAAAAGAAGAAGAAGAAGAAAAAAAACACUGAACCUUCUUUCUUCCACACUAAAAGACCUUUGUCCCAAACCACACAUGUAGAUUUUAAACAGAAAAUAAUAUGAAAGCACAGUACUUCCUUUAUAACAGACCUUAUGUGCCUUAUGCAGCUUUCUGAGUUCCUGUGUCCAUGGAUUUAUGAUGUGCUCUACACUUUCCACAUUCUCAGUGUUGUUUUCCCACAUUUGAAGGAGAAAUGAUCAAGAGAUUUGUGCUGGAGUGAAAUUUAUUCUGUCUUAAGCUGUGUAAAGGUUCCAAAUUCACCACAGCAUGGAAAAUAGAAAUGCUGUAAGCAUCUUGGGCCCUUCCCAGGCAUGCAGACACCGUACCUUCUGUAGAAAUGAACAUUACAUUCUUGUAAUUACUGCUCUUGUCAGAAUCGCUUUUGCCUUUAAUAGAUCAGGUAAAUAUGAACUAAGCAUAUGCCCAGGGGGGGAGGGGGUGUCAUUUCUGCAUGAGAAGAUAGCCCCCAGCCCAAUGAGAAGUUACACUUCUCUGCAAAGUGGGGAGCUUGAGUGAACUUUCUGGACACUCUGGAUUAAUUGCAGAGGUGGACCAUCAGGGCUUCAAGGGGAUCCCUUGUGUGGUAGAAGAGAGCUGUGAUUUAAUAUUAAAAAAAAAAAGUUUUGAAAAAAUAUUUUAGGAUUGUGGUAAAUGGGGUCACACUGCCAGUUUCCUCUGUGUGUGCUAGAAAUCUAUGAGUGACCAUCAGGGCUCAGGCAUUGAAGACACUGUCCCACUCUGCAGGUACCAUGGUAAGGCCCCCUUUUCUACAGCACUCACUAAUAGCAACGCUGCCAGACUCACCUCUAUACUGCUUAGCAGGGAACCACCUCACUGCAUCCUCAGUAACUUUGAGUAUUUCUUGGAAAUGUUGGUCAUUGCAAGCACAGUCCAGCGCCCCAUGUUGAGGAAUACUCUAAUUCUGCUAACAUUUUUCAGUGGUUUGCCAACUGCCUUUUCCAUGGAACGAACAAAAUAAAACAAAAACAACUUAAGUGCAAGUAAAGAAUUAAUUCCGUCUUACUCAACUAACAAAACAGAAAUACAGAAAUAAAAUAAAACCACACUUAAAAUUGUUUCUGUAGGUUACCUACUAACCAGCAAAAAAGCUCUUAAGACAUUUGUGUAGUUGGGGUCAAUCCUUACUCCAGAUUCCUGGGCAUUACUUAUAUAGAAAGGAAUUGUGAGUCAAUGAAGAACUUCUCCUUUAUCUGUUUGCUCCUUAAGCAAGUAGUUCCAGUUUCAAAGAGCUUUUGCAAUUCAUAACUUAAUUAGGAUGCCAAUUUUUAACAGUACUAUUAAAGGAUUACUGACCUCCCUGCCUAAUUUUAGAAAUAUUGAUGUCUUUUUGGCAUGGGUAGGUAGAUCUAUUUUCUGAUCAGAGAAUAAACAGAACUUGUUAAUGACUGUGCUAGUGCUUAACAGGCUACAGAUCUAUUUAUAGUUAUGAAGGAAAUCUUCCUGCCUGGAAUUGUCAAGCAUACACCAGUGUUUAAACAUUUGUGUGUACACAACAUCCUGUAAUUUAAAUAAACAAAUAAAUUGAUAAACAGG